rnacentral:misc_RNA from 1 species
GAUGAAGAACGCAGCGAAAUGCGAUACGUAAUGUGAAUUGCAGAAUUCAGUGAAUCAUCGAGUCUUUGAACGCACAUUGCGCCCCCUGGUAUUCCGGGGGGCAUGCCUGUCCGAGCGUCAUUGCUGCCCUCAAGCACGGCUUGUGUGUUGGGCCUCCGUCCUCCUCCCGGGGGACGGGCCCGAAAGGCAGCGGCGGCACCGCGUCCGGUCCUCGAGCGUAUGGGGCUUCGUCACCCGCUCUUGUAGGCCCGGCCGGCGCUUGCCGACACAUCAAUCUUUUUUCCAGGUUGACCUCGGAUCAGGUAGGGAUACCCGCUGAACUUAAGCAUAUCAAGCGGAGGA